rnacentral:rRNA from 1 species
UAGGGAAUCUUCGGCAAUGGGGGGAACCCUGACCGAGCAACGCCGCGUGAGUGAAGAAGGUUUUCGGAUCGUAAAGCUCUGUUGUCAGAGACGAACGUGUGUGAGAGUGGAAAGUUCACACAGUGACGGUAACUGACCAGAAAGGGACGGCUAACUACGUGCCAGCAGCCGCGGUAAUACGUAGGUCCCGAGCGUUGUCCGGAUUUAUUGGGCGUAAAGCGAGCGCAGGCGGUUUUGUAAGUCUGAAGUCAAAGGCAGUGGCUUAACCAUUGUGUGCUUUGGAAACUGCAGGACUUGAGUGCAGAAGGGGAGAGUGGAAUUCCAUGUGUAGCGGUGAAAUGCGUAGAUAUAUGGAGGAACACCGGUGGCGAAAGCGGCUCUCUGGUCUGUAACUGACGCUGAGGCUCGAAAGCGUGGGUAGCGAACAGGAUUAGAUACCC